ACUGCAGCCCUCCAUCUUGCAGGAUCUUCCGGCAGCAGGGGUCCAGGCUGUCACUGAUGAGUACUCUGCGCAGAUUUAUGAGCGAAGGCCAUUGCUAGAGUCAGGCCUUAGAAUCAGUUGCUCUGGGUGGGCAGAACCACUUAGUUCAGGAAACUGCAGACAGGGCUGGCUCCGGUGACUGGGCCAUGUUACAUUUUCAAUAAGGUUAUUUCAUACCAUUUUGUAGUUAGAAUAUGAAAUGUAUGUCCCCUGCAGGCUCCAGUUUUAAGUGCUUGACCCCUAAGUGUUGUAGAAUUUUGAAGUCUUUGGGAUCAUAAGACAUGGUGCUGGGCUGGUGGAAGUAGGACUACAGGAAUGUACCAAACUGAACUCAACUGGAGCAUACUAAUAAGGAGUAAGAGUGAAAAGAGGAGAGGAAAGAGGAGGAGGAAUAUUGAAGAGGAAAAGCUGUUAUGUAAAAUGAACUUUAAACUCACUUCUAGUCUGAGAUCGUAUACUACAUGAGUUCAAAGUUCAAGAGCUUCUGGACACUCUCAGACUGUUCAUCAAUUUUCAACAAUAUUUGUAUAUUUGUCCAAGUCUUUCAAGCAUUGGAGAAACUCAGAAAAAUAAAUCAUUCAAUGUAGUCAGACAUUG
rnacentral:lncRNA from 1 species